GAUGAACGCUGGCGGCGUGCCUAAUACAUGCAAGUCGAGCGAACAGAUGAGGAGCUUGCUCCUCUGACGUUAGCGGCGGACGGGUGAGUAACACGUGGAUAACCUACCUAUAAGACUGGGAUAACUUCGGGAAACCGGAGCUAAUACCGGAUAAUAUAUUGAACCGCAUGGUUCAAUAGUGAAAGACGGUUUUGCUGUCACUUAUAGCUGGAUCCGCGCCGCAUUAGCUAGUUGGUAAGGUAACGGCUUACCAAGGCGACGAUGCGUAGCCGACCGGGGAGGGUGAUCGGCCACACGGGAACUGAGACACGGUCCAGACGCCUACGGGAGGCAGCAGUAGGGAAUCUUCCGCAAUGGGCGAAAGCCUGACGGAGCAACGCCGCGUGAGUGAUGAAGGUCUUCGGAUCGUAAAACUCGGUUAUUAGGGAAGAACAAAUGUGUAAGUAACUAUGCACGUCUUGACGGUACCUAAUCAGAAAGCCACGGCUAACUACGUG
rnacentral:rRNA from 1 species